GCCUCGGUGAUUCAGUGGUAGAAUGCUCGCCUGCCACGCGGGCGGCCCGGGUUCGAUUCCCGGUCGAUGCA
rnacentral:tRNA from 1 species